rnacentral:rRNA from 1 species
CGCUGGCGGCGUGCUUAACACAUGCAAGUCGAACGAGAAAGUCUCUGCUUGCAGAGACGAGUAGAGUGGCGCACGGGUGAGUAACACGUGGAUAAUCUACCUUUGAAUUUGGAAUAACUGUUCGAAAGGGCAGCUAAUACCGGAUAAAGUUAUAUAUUCUUUGGGAUGUGUAAUGAAAGAGAGCCUCUGUUUCAUGCUUUUGUUUGAAGAUGAGUCCGCGUACCAUUAGCUGGAUGGUGGGGUAACGGCCUACCAUGGCGACGAUGGUUUGCUGGUCUGAGAGGAUGAUCAGCCACACUGGAACUGACACACGGUCCAGACUCCUACGGGAGGCAGCAGUGAGGAAUUUUGCGCAUGGGGGAAACCCUGACGCAGCAACGCCGCGUGAGUGAAGAAGGCCUUUGGGUCGUAAAGCUCUGUCAACAGGGAAGAAGUUAUAUGUUGUUAAUAGCAUCAUGUAUUGACGGUACCUGUGAAGGAAGCAUCGGCUAACUCCGUGCCAGCAGCCGCGGUAAUACGGGGGAUGCAAGCGUUAUUCGGAAUUAUUGGGCGUAAAGGGCACGCAGGCGGUCCUGUCAGUCAGAUGUGAAAGCCCGGGGCUCAACCCCGGACGUGCAUUUGAAACAGCAGGACUUGAGUACGGUAGAGGAGAGGGGAAUUCCUGGUGUAGAGGUGAAAUUCGUAGAUAUCAGGAGGAACACCGGUGGCGAAGGCGCCUCUCUGGGCCUGUACUGACGCUGAGGUGCGAAGGCGUGGGUAGCGAACAGGAUUAGAUACCCUGGUAGUCCACGCAGUAAACGUUGUACACUAGGUGUUGCGGGUAUUGACCCCUGCAGUGCCGGAGCUAACGCAUUAAGUGUACCGCCUGGGGAGUACGGUCGCAAGACUAAAACUCAAAGAAAUUGACGGGGCCCGCACAAGCGGUGGAGCAUGUGGUUUAAUUCGACGCAACGCGCAGAACCUUACCCGGACUUGACAUCUUGAGAAUUUCCUAGAGAUAGGAAAGUGCCUUCGGGAGCUCAAAGACAGGUGCUGCAUGGCUGUCGUCAGCUCGUGUCGUGAGAUGUUUGGUUAAGUCCAGCAACGAGCGCAACCCUUGUCUUCAGUUGCCAUCAUUUGGUUGGGAACUCUGGAGAGACUGCCCCGGUUAACGGGGAGGAAGGUGGGGAUGACGUCAAGUCCUCAUGGCCCUUAUGUCUGGGGCUACACACGUGCUACAAUGGUA